rnacentral:rRNA from 1 species
AGAGUUUGAUCAUGGCUCAGAUUGAACGCUGGCGGCAUGCUUUACACAUGCAAGUCGAACGGUAACAGGGUGCUUGCACCGCUGACGAGUGGCGAACGGGUGAGUAAUGCGUCGGAACGUGCCGAGUAAUGGGGGAUAACGCAUCGAAAGGUGUGCUAAUACCGCAUACGCUCUGAGGAGGAAAGCUGGGGAUCGAAAGACCUGGCGUUAUUCGAGCGGCCGACGUCUGAUUAGCUAGUUGGUGAGGUAAAGGCUCACCAAGGCGACGAUCAGUAGCGGGUCUGAGAGGAUGAUCCGCCACACUGGGACUGAGACACGGCCCAGACUCCUACGGGAGGCAGCAGUGGGGAAUUUUGGACAAUGGGGGCAACCCUGAUCCAGCCAUGCCGCGUGUCUGAAGAAGGCCUUCGGGUUGUAAAGGACUUUUGUUAGGGAGCAAGUCCUGCAGGUUAAGAGCUAGUAGGGAUGAGAGUACCUAAAGAAUAAGCACCGGCUAACUACGUGCCAGCAGCCGCGGUAAUACGUAGGGUGCAAGCGUUAAUCGGAAUUACUGGGCGUAAAGGGUGCGCAGGCGGUAUUGUAAGCCAGAUGUGAAAUCCCCGGGCUCAACCUGGGAACUGCGUUUGGAACUGCAAUGCUAGAGUGUGUCAGAGGGGGGUGGAAUUCCACGUGUAGCAGUGAAAUGCGUAGAGAUGUGGAGGAACACCGAUGGCGAAGGCAGCCCCCUGGGAUAACACUGACGCUCAGGCACGAAAGCGUGGGGAGC